rnacentral:rRNA from 1 species
CCCUUAGAUGCCAUCGGUAUGCACGCGUGCUACACUGAUACGUUCAACAAGCAGCCCUUCACCGAUCGGUGCAGGUAAUCUUUGAAAACGUAUCGUGCUGGGGAUAGACCAUUGCAAUUAUUGGUCUUGAACGAGGAAUGCCUAGUAUGCGCGAUUCAUCAGAUCGCACAGAUUACGUCCCUGCCCCUUGUACACACCGCCCGUCGCUCCUACCGAUCGAAAGGCCCGGUGAAUUGUGCUGAUCGCGAAGCUUGACUGGUUAAACAGACUUGCUUCGUGAGACGCUCUGUGAACCUUGUCUUUUAGAGGAAGGAGAAGUCGUAACA